GGUGGGGGGCCCGUCGGGUUGGUGGGUUUGGGAUAGGGUAGGGUGAGGUAACAGCGGCGGGGUCUACGUUAGAGCGGCGGUGAGGUAGGAGAGGUCGAGCGCGUGCGAGCGGCGGCGGCGCCGGCGUGAGUCCCGUAUUGCCUGAAGGGGGCGGACCUAGAGCGCAGUGACGAGAGGAGGCAACGGAGGGCCUGAAUGGGAGCGAGACCUAGGUCAGAUGGUUCUCGGGUUGGAGCGACGGUUCAGGUAACGGCGGCGGAUGCAGGAUACAAGGAUGUCGUCCGCGGCGGUGUAGCGGGGGGGACGAGCUGAAAAAAACACUCCCCAAGGGGGACGAGCUGAGACAGCCGAGAGGAGGUCGUGCACUGGGUCCCAGCGUACCACCCGACGCGGUCGGACGGCCGGCGUCCGGGGAGCGGCUGUACCCGGGCUCGGGGUGUUCCACUCCGUCGGCGGGGAGGAGCGGACCGCUCCGUCGACCUCUUCUUCAGCGCCCUGGCCUCCGACGGUAUCCUGCUCUAGGAGACGACGACGACACAGACCACCAACUUCUUCCCCACACAACCCUUCUCCUCCGUCACAACUCUCACGAGCUAGACCUUGUCCUGCUCGAACCCGACGUAGCCGAGACCAAGAGUUGGAGGUUGUACUCAGGGAAAGAAGGCACGGAGCUUGCGGUACUCAGUAGUACCCGUGACGUCUACGCCUCCUCAAAAAGGCCCCGCUAGACGAACAAGGGCCGGCGCGACCACAGUUGAUGGAGCUCGGUGAUACUGGUAGGGUUGGUACGAGUGGGGGGACUUGCUUAACAAACACCUAGACGUUUCCCCCUAAGUUAAUUAAAAGUCAACAUCUUUUCCCUCUUCCCCCUAAGUUAAUUAAAAGGAGGAGUUCUAGUUUCUUUGUUUUAGAAACACCGCUCCUAUCUUCCCCAAGUGCUGAAGUGCAAUUAUGUGUCUGAUAACCAUCGAGUACCGCUCACUACGCACUCGGUAGAGCUAGGAAAACGAGACAAUAAUAUAAAAUCGGUACUUCCUAAAUGACGAUCAGUCAAGCAUCACCUAGGCCGACAAACGACUUGAAAACAAGAACGAACACGAUAAAAAAAAUGACAAAUCUACCGAGUUAAAUGAAGGUUAAAAUGAGAACUCAAAAGGGUACGUACGUAUGAGACAAUUAAAUAAGGCUCACGGGUAUCAAGGGAGAGAUCGUCGUGGUGAACACGAGAACAGAGUGGGUAUUGUUGUUAAAUGAUCAUCAUACAGAGAACCGUACCCACGAUCGAAUCCAGGGAAGAUGAUGAUGAGGUGAAUCAUUGAACAGACAUAAGAUAAUGAAACAUGGAUACACACACUCGACACAAUAUAAGUAGAAGGAGUUCAUGAUGUUGUGACCAUCAACAUGUGUAUACUACCACUAAGCGAGGCCAGUAAGGUCAAAACCGCCACCACCACGACGACGAGGAUACUACCAUCUGAGCAGACUAAGGGGAUCGGCGUAGGUACCACUACUUCGAGCCGGAUCCGAUCUUGGGGGAGGUUAAACGAAUUCUAGUGCCUUCGAACCCAACUACCUCACGAACAUAAAUCAAAAACAAAACUGCAACACUUUGAACGAUGGAUACCUACUUUGACGCAUUAUAACUACUUUGAUACAUAUACAUGCCUACUUUGAACGAUAAUAACCAUUGUACACAACCUAUAUAUACACAAGUACUGAUAACCAUUAUACACAACUUAUACGAUAUAACCAG
rnacentral:rRNA from 1 species